GAUAUGUCCAGUCAGUCAACUUAUCAGAAAGAGUCAACAUCUAGGUCGCAUCUUAGAACGCUCACUAACCCUAAACACUAAAUAGUGUCAUUGAUUUCGAAAUCAUUGCUCUGGUGACAUAGCACGUGACAUUAAGCAUAUAAAAGGGAAGGUCAUGCCCUCUACACCUUACAAGCGUCCGGCACGUUCCCUCUUAGCAUUAGCAAGAUAAUAAAAAGAAUGCAGACGCAGUUACUUAUUUUUCUGGUCGGCUGCUGCACAACAUUUGCGCAAAACUACACGCACAAUGACAUUGUAGCGGCAGUUGAUGCCACAUUCAAAAACCUCGAUACCAGCCACGACAGCAAAUUAGAAUUGUUUGAACUGCUUGAUGUCUACGACAAACUCGAUACU